GUGUUCACUUGGGCAGCCCAUAUACUAAAAUUUGAAUGAUACAGAGAAGAUUAGCACGGCCCCUGCGCAAGUAUGACAUGAAAAUUCGGGAACCGUUCCAUAUUUUU